ACCUACUGUUUAAUUUUGAGGGUUCGUUUUUACGAAUACUCAAAAUUAGCACUUUUAGCAACAGAAUAAACUGAACGCAUGUGAAGUUUGUUUGUUGGCGCUGUGCUUUAGCACUUUGAAAACUGCAUAUAUAUUUAGUGAUAUGACAUCUAAUUUGUAAUAUAUAAAGCUGAUAACUUUUUAAAAUUAUCGAAGUUGAUAGCUUCUAAUCUAUCAAACCUUUUUAACUGGUCAA
rnacentral:misc_RNA from 1 species